rnacentral:rRNA from 1 species
GACGAACGCUGGCGGCGUGCCUAAUACAUGCAAGUAGAACGCUGAAGAGAGGAGCUUGCUCUUCUUGGAUGAGUUGCGAACGGGUGAGUAACGCGUAGGUAACCAGCCUUGUAGCGGGGGAUAACUAUUGGAAACGAUAGCUAAUACCGCAUAACAAUGGAUGACACAUGUCAUUUAUUUGAAAGGGGCAAUUGCUCCACUACAAGAUGGACCUGCGUUGUAUUAGCUAGUAGGUGAGGUAACGGCUCACCUAGGCGACGAUACAUAGCCGACCUGAGAGGGUGAUCGGCCACACUGGGACUGAGACACGGCCCAGACUCCUACGGGAGGCAGCAGUAGGGAAUCUUCGGCAAUAGGGGCAACCCUGACCGAGCAACGCCGCGUGAGUGAAGAAGGUUUUCGGAUCGUAAAGCUCUGUUGUAAGUCAAGAACGAGUGUGAGAGUGGAAAGUUCACACUGUGACGGUAGCUUACCAGAAAGGGACGGCUAACUACGUG